rnacentral:tRNA from 1 species
GGAAAUGAAGUAAACUGAAUGCAAUGAAUUUUCAAUUCAUUGAUUAUGAUUAAAAUUCAAUUAUUUCUU